rnacentral:rRNA from 1 species
CCUACGGGUGACAGCAGUGAGGAAUAUUGGUCAAUGGGCGCGAGCCUGAACCAGCCAAGUAGCGUGAAGGAUGACUGCCCUACGGGUUGUAAACUUCUUUUAUAAAGGAAUAAAGUGAGGCACGUGUGCCUUUUUGUAUGUACUUUAUGAAUAAGGAUCGGCUAACUCCGUGCCAGCAGCCGCGGUAAUACGGAGGAUCCGAGCGUUAUCCGGAUUUAUGGGGUUUAAAGGGAGCGUAGAUGGGUUGUUAAGUCAGUUGUGAAAGUUUGCGGCUCAACCGUAAAAUUGCAAUUGAUACUGGCAGUCUUGCUUCCAGUUGCGGUAGGCUGUAUUCGUGGUGUAGCGGU